CCUACGGGAGGCAGCAGUGAGGAAUAUUGGUCAAUGGUCGGGAGACUGAACCAGCCAAGCCGCGUGAGGGAUGAAGGUACAGAGUAUCGUAAACCUCUUUUGUCAGGGAACAAAGGCGGGGACGUGUCGCCGGUUGAGUGUACCUGAAGAAAAAGCAUCGGCUAACUCCGUGCCAGCAGCCGCGGUAAUACGGAGGAUGCGAGCGUUAUCCGGAUUUAUUGGGUUUAAAGGGUGCGCAGGCGGACUGUUAAGUCAGCGGUCAAAGCGCGGGGCUCAACCCCGGCCCGCCGUUGAAACUGGCAGUCUCGAGUGAGCGAGAAGUAUGCGGAAUGCGCGGUGUAGCGGUGAAAUGCAUAGAUAUCGCGCAGAACUCCGAUUGCGAAGGCAGCAUGCCGGCUCCACACUGACGCUGAGGCACGAAAGCGUGGGUAUCGAACAGGAUUAGAUACCCCUGUAGUC
rnacentral:rRNA from 1 species